CAGCUCCCGACUUCCCCAGCUGGAGAGAGGCAGGGCUCUGUGCUGCUCUGCUGUGCUGUUGGAGGGGUUUUUCCUGUCGAUCUUAUCCAACCUGUGUGAUGAGCGAGCAGGCACCCUGUUCUGGAGGCAAACAGAAGAAAAGGCGGGAAGAAAAGGCCGUUUUUGGAAUUCUGUGCUAAUUACAACGUCAGGAACACUUGCUGAUCAAAAAGAAGACGUUCAACUCAGAAAAACAGGCACAUUUACAAAACAAUUGGUUCCAAAGGAGGAAGCAUCAGCAGAUAACAGCAGAGGAGGACGUGCUCAUCUCACUAGUGAUCAGAAAAAAGCAAACUCACACACCCAUGAGAAGCCAGACUGGCAAAGACGUGGGCAUUGCAUGGGACAUCUCACGGCACCGAAUCGUGAAGCCCAGACACUUGCUCCUGGGGUCAGCAGCCUCAUGUCUGGCACAAACCCAGAGGAAGCCGUGUCUAGCCCUGUGAGGAAGCCUCCCAGGAGGUGCCCUGCUCUGAGGGAGCAGGAGCCCCAGGCAACUGGGUGUCCAUCCAUGCUAGAAAGUAG
rnacentral:lncRNA from 1 species